rnacentral:rRNA from 1 species
GGGGGAUAACAGUUGGAAACGACUGCUAAUACCGCAUAAUGUCUACGGACCAAACGGGGCUUCGGCUCCGGCGCAAAGAGAGGCCCAAGUGAGAUUAGCUAGUUGGUGAGGUAAAGGCUCACCAAGGCGACGAUCUCUAGCUGUUCUGAGAGGAAGAUCAGCCACACUGGGACUGAGACACGGCCCAGACUCCUACGGGAGGCAGCAGUGGGGAAUAUUGCACAAUGGGGGAAACCCUGAUGCAGCCAUGCCGCGUGUGUGAAGAAGGCCUUCGGGUUGUAAAGCACUUUCAGUUGUGAGGAAAGGUUGGUAGUUAAUACCUGCCAGCUGUGACGUUAACAACAGAAGAAGCACCGGCUAACUCCGUGCCAGCAGCCGCGGUAAUACGGAGGGUGCGAGCGUUAAUCGGAAUUACUGGGCGUAAAGCGGACGCAGGCGGUUUGUUAAGCUAGAUGUGAAAGCCCCGGGCUCAACCUGGGAUGGUCAUUUAGAACUGGCAGACUAGAGUCUUGGAGAGGGGAGUGGAAUUCCAGGUGUAGCGGUGAAAUGCGUAGAUAUCUGGAGGAACAUCAGUGGCGAAGGCGACUCCCUGGCCAAAGACUGACGCUCAUGUCCGAAAGUGUGGGUAGCGAACAGGAUUAGAUACCCUGGUAGUCCACACCGUAAACGCUGUCUACUAGCUGUGUGUGAAUUUAAUUCGUGCGUAGCGAAGCUAACGCGAUAAGUAGACCGCCU